ensembl:lncRNA
UAAACACUCUGAACCCGCAUUUGAGUUUUCGGUCUUUAAUUUCGAAAACCCACUUGGAGUAUUUUAUUUUGAAGCAGAUCCGGCUGCUGCCCCUGUGUGUGUGUGUGUGUGUGUGUGUGUGUGUGUGUGUGUGUGUGUGUGUGUGUGUGUGUGUGUGUGUGUGUGUGUGUCAGCUGUUGAGGUCAGAUUGUGUGAGGAGGCGGGAUGAGGCUCAGUGUGUGAUCGCAGCCUGAUUAACACACACGGUCCUCAGCCUCCUCUUGAACAAACACACACUCCGUGACUUUUCGGCUCUUCAUCAUGGACUUGGACCCCGCCGUCAUCGUCCCCGCCAUCCUCUUCACCGUCGUUGCCAUUUAUUUCGCUACGUCGCUCCUCAGCAGGAAGCCCGAUGUCUCCUCCUCGUCUGCCGGGAGCAAGAGGUCCAAACUCGGGUACGGAGACGACCUUCUUCCACAAGGAGCUCUGGAAGAAGAGCCCGAAGCCUCCCUGCGACCAGAGCCUCCAGCUCCGAGCGUGGAGGACAUUGGGGCGGCCGAGACGAUCCAGAUGUGGCUGCAGCUGCUGAUGUGCUGAGCUUCACCCCGGGAAUGAAACAGAGUAAGAUGGCAGUGCUGAUGACCCAGGAGGACAUGGAGGAGGAGCAGAGGGUGCAACAGGAGCAGCUGGCGGCCAUCUUCCAGCUGCUGAAGGCGAACCAGGAGGUGACAGAGGCCGACAUAGAGGAGCAGCUGAAGCUUUACUCCCUCUGAAACACGAGAGACGCCAUCGAUCUGUCCACUCAGGAAGUCUAUCACCAUGACCACCAUCACCAGCAUCAUGUCUCCAGACUGCAGCUCGCCAUCUGUCAGACUCUAGGGACAUCACUUCCUUCCAAAGCAAUGCUAGGCUAAAUUGUAGUAGCAGUUUGAAGAGCGCGCUAAUGGAAGCUGGCAGGCUUCAGAUUCAUAUUCAUGGCAGACACGUGAGUGCGGCGGCGUCCUCGUGACGUUUCCCCUCAAACCGCUUCAUUGGCUCUCGUCUGAGAGCUUCUGACGUCACCAAAGACCAAAAAAAGAAACAGUGUGUGGGAUGAUUUCAGCCUCAAAGCUCACUGAACUCUUUUCUACAUUAACUCUGUAAAAAACAUUUCAGUGCUCAUUAACAAACAUUUUUCAAAUAUUUGCUGCAAAUAUUGUUAUUUUAAAAUAAUAUUAAUGGAACAUUUUUGCAUCAAGAUUGUCAUGAAAACAACUUUUUUUCCGUCCACCGUUCAUUUUUUAUUUCAUAGUUCAUUUAAAGCAUUUAUAGUAUUUUUAAUUAGUUUUCAUAAUAAUAAUAAAAAUGUCCCCAAGUGUCCCCCGAGCUGUGAUUGGCCUCCUACUCAGGUCUGGCUGCUUCUUCUUCUGUCGCUGUUUUUCUGCACUGGAGCAUCUGCAGUCACAAUAAAGCUGUUUGAAAUCUCGCAGUUGAGUGAAGUGUUAUAUUUUCCUGCAGGAAACGACAGAACACGCUGGGAUGAUG